AGAGUUUGAUCAUGGCUCAGAACGAACGCUGGCGGCAGGCUUAACACAUGCAAGUCGAACGAUGUAGCAAUACAUAGUGGCGCACGGGUGAGUAACGCGUGGGAACAUGCCUUUGAGUACGGGAUAGCCUCGGGAAACUGGGAUUAAUACCGUAUAUUCUCUACGGAGGAAAGAUUUAUCGCUCAAAGAUUGGCCCGCGUUAGAUUAGGUAGUUGGUGGGGUAAUGGCCUACCAAGCCUACGAUCUAUAGCUGGUCUGAGAGGACGACCAGCCACACUGGAACUGAGACACGGUCCAGACUCCUACGGGAGGCAGCAGUGGGGAAUAUUGGACAAUGGGCGAAAGCCUGAUCCAGCCAUGCCGCGUGAGUGAUGAAGGCCUUAGGGUUGUAAAGCUCUUUUGUCAGGGAAGAUGAUGACGGUACCUGAAGAAUAAGCACCGGCUAACUUCGUGCCAGCAGCCGCGGUAAUACGAAGGGUGCUAGCGUUGUUCGGAAUCACUGGGCGUAAAGCGCGCGUAGGCGGCUAUUCAAGUCAGGGGUGAAAUCCUGAGGCUCAACCUCAGAAUUGCCUUUGAAACUGUGUAGCUAGAGUGUCGGAGGGGAUAGCGGAAUUGCUAAUGUAGAGGUGAAAUUCGUAGAUAUUAGCAGGAACACCGGUGGCGAAGGCGGCUAUCUGGACGACAACUGACGCUUAGGCGCGAAAGCGUGGGGAUCAAACAGGAUUAGAUACCCUAGUAGUCC
rnacentral:rRNA from 1 species